GAGGGAUUCUGACCAUGUUAAUGAGAGGCUGAAGUCCAGCGUGGCCUGCGGGGUCUGCAGCAUGUGUCAUUAGUGUAAACAGCGCGCGAGCAGCAGAGCAGCGGAGCAGCACGUUCCCUUCUGGAUGCUCGGAUAUUUCCCGCGCUGGAGAAACUCGCAGUUCCACUUUCGCUCGGAGGAUUUGGGUGUUGACGAUGGCGUUCGCCAUGCUGCGGCCCGUGGCCUCGCACCUGGCCUACCCGGAGCACUGCGCGCUCUCCGACGACGAUGAGAACCGCAGCGAGAGCGACGGCAGCUCGGACCAGAGCUACGGCUGCUGCGCGAGCGCGGAGAAGCGGCGGCGCGCGGCACGCAGGCCCGGCUCGGGCAGCCAGCUAGUCGUGAAGCAGCGGAACGCUGCGAACGCGCGCGAGCGGGACAGGACGCAGAGUGUGAACACGGCGUUCACGGCGCUGCGCACGCUCAUCCCCACAGAGCCCGUGGACCGCAAACUGUCUAAGAUCGAGACGCUGCGCCUCGCGUCCAGCUACAUCUCCCACCUGGCCAACGUGCUGCUGACCGGCGACGGUAGCGAGGACGCGCAGCCGUGCCUGAGCGCAGGGUGUCGCGCGCAGGGCGACGGAGGCAGCAAGCAGCCGCGCACCAUCUGCACCUUCUGCCUGAGCAACCAGAGGAAAGGGGUGAAGGAUGGUAAAGACUGUCUCCGGAUGCGUGGAUUAACUUCAGUGCGCGUGAGCCGCCGGUAGCCGCCCACAAGCCGCCGGCCACGAGCCGCGAGACGCCGAACUCAGGGAGCGCGGAGAGUGCAGAGCGCGCGCAGGAGCGCCCAGCAGAGACUGACUUACAGACUGACACUUACAGGAGCCUGCGUGGGUGAGUGUUGGUGUUUGUGUGUGUGCGUGUGUGUAGGUGUACCGCUGGCCCAGGCCUCCAAUCUGAGAUGGUUCCCUGAGGCUUCUGUUCUGCAGGAAGACGUCUGAGACACGCAGGAAAGCAAAACAUGCAUGUCCGACCCCACCACGGAUGUCUCCCUGCGCCGCACACACACACUUACACGCACACACACCUUGCUGUGGGUCAGCUCCGGUCCUGACAUCAUCCGGCAGACUUAGCAGAUGGAUAGCUCCCAGAAGCCAAACCGGGUUGAACGUAUGAAUGAAAAAAAGAUGAGAAGGGGAAAAAGGAAGACAAGCAUCCGCUUUUUUUCUUUUUCUUUAUUUUUUCAACAAAUUCAGCAGGCAGGUUGAUGGCCAGAGGUGGUAGAAGUACAGAAAUUCCAUUAACGCUUAGUGGCUGACUUACUGGACAGACUUACUUACUUUGUAUGACAGACAAAGGAGCAGACAGAAUGGGAUAAAAACACAACAAAACAGCUGAACAGCACACAUUACUGGCAUUAAGCACAUCAACCUAAAGAUAAUCAGCACAAAACCAACUAAACCCUAGCACAACAUGAUCAGCACAGCAUUUAACAAAUAUUACUAAAUAUAUGAAAAACUCCAAAAGUAAAACUCCAUAGACGUUUAGCUAUUGAGCUGGAAGGUAAAGUAUGUA